rnacentral:rRNA from 1 species
GAAAUCCUAAUAGUGGAAGCAGAACGAGCUGAAAUAGCUAUAUAGUGAAGUGGUUGCGGUAACGCGUCUAUGGAUCUAUUUAGCUGCUCUGGCUGUACUAGUCGAGUUUUCAUGACUUGUUGUGUGUUGCCCAUCGCUUCGGUGUAUGGUGUCUUGCCGGCAGGAAUUGACUACCGUAUUAGUAUUACCCAUUAUGGUCUUACGGCCAUGAGCCAGGGUUAAAGUCAGUCACCGUUCUGACCCGUCUUGAAACACGGA